UGGCGGACGGGUGCGUAACGCGUAAGAACCUACCUUUUGGAGGGGGAUAACAUUGGGAAACCGUUGCUAAUACCCCAUAUCGCUGAGGAGUGAAACAUUUAAUACAUGGCCAGAAGAGGGGCUUGCGUCUGAUUAGCUAGUUGGUGGGGGUAAAGGCCUCCCAAGGCCACGAUCAGUAGCUGGUCUGAGAGGAUGAUCAGCCACACUGGAACUGAGAACGGUCCAGACUCCUACGGGAGGCAGCAGUGAGGAAUUUUCCGCAAUGGACGAAAGUCUGACGGAGCAAUGCCGCGUGAAGGAUGAAGGUCUGUGGAUCGUAAACUUCUUUUCUCAGAGAAGAAAAAAAUGACGGUAUCUGAGGAAUAAGCUCCGGCUAACCCUGUGCCAGCAGCCGCGGUAAUACAGGGGGAGCAAGCGUUAUCCGGAAUGAUUGGGCGUAAAGCGUCUGUAGGUCGCGUAUAAAGUCUAUUGUUAAAUUCCAGGGCUCAACCUUGGGCAGGCAAUAGAGUAC
rnacentral:rRNA from 1 species